CAGAUACCACCAUAGCCUUCUCAU
rnacentral:tRNA from 1 species